GCGCCCGUAGCUCAGCAGGAUAGAGCACCAGAUUCCUAAUCUGGGGG
rnacentral:tRNA from 1 species